rnacentral:rRNA from 1 species
AGAGUUUGAUCCUGGCUCAGAUUGAACGCUGGCGGCAUGCCUAACACAUGCAAGUCGAACGGUAACAGGUCGCUGUGAUCCCUUCGGGGUGAACUUGAUGCUGACGAGUGGCGGACGGGUGAGUAAUGCUUGGGAAUCUGCCCAGUAGUGGGGGACAACACGGGGAAACUCGUGCUAAUACCGCAUACGUCCUACGGGAGAAAGUGGAGGAUCUUCGGACUUCACGCUAUUGGAUGAGCCCAAGUCGGAUUAGCUUGUUGGUGAGGUAAAGGCUCACCAAGGCAACGAUCCGUAGCUGGUCUGAGAGGACGAUCAGCCACACUGGGACUGAGACACGGCCCAGACUCCUACGGGAGGCAGCAGUGGGGAAUAUUGGACAAUGGGGGCAACCCUGAUCCAGCAAUGCCGCGUGUGUGAAGAAGGCCUGCGGGUUGUAAAGCACUUUCAGUAGAGAAGAAAUGCCUGGAGUUAAUACCUCCGGUCUUGACGUAACCUACAGAAGAAGCACCGCUAACU